CCUACGGGUGGCAGCAGUGAGGAAUAUUGGUCAAUGGACGAGAGUCUGAACCAGCCAAGCAGCGUGAAGGAUGACUGCCCUAUGGGUUGUAAACUUCUUUUAUAUGGGAAUAAAAUGUCCCACGUGUGUGAUCUUGUAUGUACCAUAUGAAUAAGGAUCGGCUAACCUCGUGCCAGCAGCCGCGGUAAUACGGAGGAUCCGAGUGUUAUCCGGAUUUAUUGGGUUUAAAGGGAGCGUAGGUGGUUUGUUAAGUCAGUUGUGAAAGUUUGCGGCUCAACCGUAAAAUUGCAGUUGAAACUGGCAGUCUUGAGUGCAGUAGAGGGGGGCGGAAUUCGUGGUGUAGCGGUGAAAUGCUUAGAUAUCACGAGGAACACCAGUUGCGAAGGCAGCUCACUGGACUGUAACUGACACUGAGGCUCGAAAGUGUGGGUAUCAAACAGGAUUAGAUACCCCUGUAGUC
rnacentral:rRNA from 1 species